CCCCUCUCAGGGUCACAUCUGGAGAGUUCCCAAUACUCUACCAGUCUCAACUACAGGAGGGAGAGUCAGACAGAGACAUAUCGAUUCCAUUCCUAGCUUGGGGAGUGGUUAGCGACUGGAAGACAAUCUGCUACAAGU